rnacentral:rRNA from 1 species
GAGUUUGAUUAUGGCUCAGGAUGAACGCUGACAGAAUGCUUAACACAUGCAAGUCGAUGGGGAAGUAGUACUAGUACUAUGAUAACCAUGGCGGACGGGUGAGUAACGCGUAAAGAACUUGCCUUUAGGACAGGGAUAACAGAGGGAAACUUCUGAUAAGACUUGAUAUAAUUAUUUGGUUGCAUGACUGGGUAAUGAAAAGAGAUGCCUAAAGAGAGCUUUGCGUCCUAUUAGUUAGUUGGUGGGGUGAUGGCUUACCAAGGCGAUGAUAGGUAGCCGGCCUGAGAGGGUGGACGGCCACAAGGGGACUGAGAUACGGCCCUUACUCUUACGGGAGGCAGCAGUGGGGAAUAUUGGACAAUGGAGGAGACUCUGAUCCAGCAAUUCUGUGUGCACGACGAAGGUUUUCGGAUUGUAAAGUGCUUUCAACAGGGAAGAAGGAAGUGACGGUA